AGUGGCGAACGGGUGAGUAACACGUGGGCAAUCUGCCCUGCACACCGGGAUAAGCCUGGGAAACUGGGUCUAAUACCGGAUAGGACCACUUGGCGCAUGCCUUGUGGUGGAAAGCUUUUGCGGUGUGGGAUGGGCCCGCGGCCUAUCAGCUUGUUGGUGGGGUGACGGCCUACCAAGGCGACGACGGGUAGCCGGCCUGAGAGGGUGUCCGGCCACACUGGGACUGAGAUACGGCCCAGACUCCUACGGGAGGCAGCAGUGGGGAAUAUUGCACAAUGGGCGCAAGCCUGAUGCAGCGACGCCGCGUGGGGGAUGACGGCCUUCGGGUUGUAAACCUCUUUCACCAUCGACGAAGGUCCGGGUUCUCUCGGAUUGACGGUAGGUGGAGAAGAAGCACCGGCCAACUACGUGCCAGCAGCCGCGGUAAUACGUAGGGUGCGAGCGUUGUCCGGAAUUACUGGGCGUAAAGAGCUCGUAGGUGGUUUGUCGCGUUGUUCGUGAAAUCUCACGGCUUAACUGUGAGCGUGCGGGCGAUACGGGCAGACUAGAGUACUGCAGGGGAGACUGGAAUUCCUGGUGUAGCGGUGGAAUGCGCAGAUAUCAGGAGGAACACCGGUGGCGAAGGCGGGUCUCUGGGCAGUAACUGACGCUGAGGAGCGAAAGCGUGGGGAGCGAACAGGAUUAGAUACCCUGGUAGUCCACGCCGUAAACGGUGGGUACUAGGGUGUGGGUUUCCUUCCUUGGGAUCCGUGCCGUAGCUAACGCAUUAAGUACCCCGCCCGGGGGAGUACGGCCGCAAGGCUAAAACUCAAAGGAAUUGACGGGGGGCCCGCACAAGCGGCGGAGCCAUGUGGAUUAAUUCGAUGCAACG
rnacentral:rRNA from 1 species